UGCAUCGCUCAGAAAAAGAUAACCAAAUGGUACCAUUAUAUUUUUAUGGCAGUGAACAAAUGAAAAGUUGAUUGGCAUAGGGGAAAAAAAAAAGAACUAGAAGAAAAUACUCAAUCAGAAGAAUUUACGCGUUCACCCAUUGUAGUUCAUCCACCAAAACCAAAAAGAAAAGAAAAGGAAAGUGAAGAAAGAAAGAAAGAAUUUACAGGGUUUACCAUUUUCAAGGACUACAUUAAUGGAACGAAAGGCAAUUAACAAUUCAGUAUUAUGAUGAGAACAAGUAAAUUAUGUUUCAAUCCACAAACAUGUUCAGGUUUUUGCAUUACAUUAGAGACUAUG
rnacentral:misc_RNA from 1 species